GUAAUUAGAUAAAAAAUAAAAUUGUUGGAUGUAACUUUCAAAAGGUUUAUGUUGUUUAUAGCUUAAUAUAUGACAAAGCUUAUUGUGAUAUAUUUUCUUCAUAAUCUGUGUUACAUAGUUGCAAAUGAUAACUUUGGUCAUAACAGUUGCACAAUAUUAUUUAUAGUUCAUAACUUUAUGGACUUUUAAUAUCUUGGUCAGGGGUGUGACGUCCAUGUUGUUGUUCCGCCUGCGAACAUGGCUGCAUAUUACGAGAAGUUUGCUUUGGACUCGACCUACACCGUGUCAAACUUUAAAGUACAGCCAAAUAACUUGGUAUUUAAACCAUCCACACACAAGUAUUUGGUCAAGUUUACUGGAGGAACAUCGGUUUCUGAUGUUAACAAACACGAAAUAAAACCCAAGCAAAGGAAGUUUACCAAUUUUGUUGAUAUUAUUAUCGGCAAGUUUCAGAAAGAUUUGCUGCUCGGUAAUGUAAUAUUUAUGACUUGCAGCAAGUUACACAUUUUUUUGAAUGUUUCCUUCAUAUUACUUAUGUUGUUCGUUGUUAUGCUUUUUGCAAAUGUUAUUGGUAUGGUCGAGUCUAUUGGAUAUGCCCAGACACAGAGCAGAGGCAAAAAAACUGCAAGUCAAUUUGGUCUUUAGGGAUGAGAGCAACAACGCGAUAAAUUGCAACCUAUGGGAGGCCUAUGCUGCUCAAUUCUUUAAGUUUAACAAAGAACGGGGUAAAUGUAUUUUGUUCAAUAUGUAUGGCCUGUGGAUUCACAUCAACAACUCAUGACCCAUGCAUAGACAUCUCAGAGAAAUUGGGGUAAGACUGAAAAAUACAGAUAUAUAAUAUAUUUGUUUCUAUUGGUACUUGGUCAUUGUGUUGGUUAUGAGUUGAACUAUCCCUGGAAAGAAGCCCUUCUUGUGACCAUCACAGAGCUGAGACAGAGGGGAAUAUUGGAUAUUCGAGUAGGCGUUCAAUUGUUAGGGUAACUUAGUAUUCUUUUAUGUCAAAUAUGUCAUUUUUUCUAUCUAUGUAAUGCAUUGCAGUGUUUAUUAUUCUGGAUUUAACAUUAUGGGAAACACCCUCUUUGUUUAUUAUUCUGGAGUUAACAUUAUAUUAAGCCCUAAAAUGCUAUAGCGGCGGAUAUCAGGAUGACCGUCAUUGUGAAGACUAAAAAACAAUAUAUGUGGAAAGCUGUUGGAGUUAGAGAUCUAAUGGUGGUUGAAUCUUAGGCUGCAGUGACUGCAACCAUUUUUCAACUGCAGAGGAUCAUGGUCCUUAUUUAUGUAUUUGUGGUUGAAUCUUAGGCUGCAGUGAUUACAACCAUUUUUUAACUUCUCCCGACCGUUUCUGAUGCAAGGUUUCUGAGUCAGUGAUUAUACUUAGUAUUACAAAGGUCUGUUGGUUCCAUGGAGUUGGGUGAUGUUAUUUUACAGGAAUAGUAAAGAAAUUGAGAACAAGUAUUGCUUACGUGGUGCAGAAUGGGGAGUUGGUGAUUUUUCAGCAGAAGGAAUGACAAUAGAGGAGAGGUUUUUGAAUUCCUGUCAGUACAACAAAAAUCGGGCACGAUAAAAGAACCCAAUCAGAGGAUAAGAAGAACAUGAUUUCAUGACUGAGUAUAUAUGGUAUGUCGGUUGCAUGGUCGGUGAAAUCGUAACAAGACAACCCCUAUUCCCUAGAAGAGAUUAUGUUCACCAGCUAAGAUUGGUCACAGAGGGGAUGAGCAGCAGUUUUUGCAGUGACAAUCUAUUAUUCUUUUAAGUUUAGUCAUACUUGUGUUUUAACAUAAUUAGCAAGCCAAUGAUAAUAUUGAGAAGCGCCGACAUUGAUGGGUGGUAUCUCACUGGUGUAAUGGGGUGAACAUCGAUAUCGAAUUUCUGUUAUUGAUGUAUAGUUCUUACAGCUAUCAGUUUUUAUGUUAGCAUAAAUAAGUUUUCACACUUUACAGAUCUGUUCUAUUCGGCUGCUUGGAUAUUUCUUAAUUCUGAAUAA